rfam:Paramecium tetraurelia macronuclear largest chromosome, complete sequence.
CCAGGCUGGGGCAACUUGGCUGUCACUUUAUGUGGGUUGUAAGAGGAUGUUUGAUAAGCUGUCAUCUGAGAGCUCGCUGAGUCAUUUCGUUAAGAGUCACCGCCCUAACCGAGCUCGUAGUCACUUGUGGGAUCCAUCAGUAAUGAGGGUUUCACUUGUGUUGAAGAAUCUCGCAAUGGCUUAGGCUGGAAACAGAGCAAGCAAUAGGGAUCGCUAUGAGCGGCGGAAGGAUACCGGACUCGUGAAGUGAUGUGGCUUAUCGUGGCACUUAUUAAGCAGA